rnacentral:rRNA from 1 species
UACGUAGGUGGCAAGCGUUGUCCGGAUUUAUUGGGUUUAAAGGGUGCGUAGGCGGUCUUCUAAGUCAGUUGUGAAAUACUUCAGCUUAACUGGAGAGGUGCAAUUGAUACUGGAAGACUUGAGUACUGAUGAGGUAGGCGGAAUGGACGGUGUAGCGGUGAAAUGCUUAGAUAUCGUCCAGAACACCGAUGGCGAAGGCAGCUUACUAAGGAGUAACUGACGCUGAGGCACGAAAGUGUGGGGAUCAAACAGG